CUCUUUCUUUUUUUGUCACUUGAGCCUAGGAGUUCAGGGCUGUAGUGCACUAUGCCAAUCAGGUGUCCACACUAAGUUCACAUCAAUAUGGUGACCUCCCGGGAGCAGGGGACCACCAGGUUGCCUAAGGAGGAGUGAACCGGCCCAGGUCAGAAACGGAGCAGGUCAAAACUCCUGUGCUGAUCAGCAGUGGGAGAGGAGAGGAUAGAGGAGAAAGGUCCCCAUAGCC
rnacentral:sRNA from 1 species